GACGAACGCUGGCGGCGUGCUUAACACAUGCAAGUCGAACGGAAAGGCCCUGCUUUUGUGGGGUGCUCGAGUGGCGAACGGGUGAGUAACACGUGAGUAACCUGCACUUGACUGUGGGAUAACUUCAGGAAAAUGGGGCUAAUACAGGAUAGGAGCUACUGCUGCAUGGUGGGGGUUGGUAAGUUUCGGCGGUUGGGGCUGGACUCGCGGCUUAUCAGCUUGUUGGUGGGGUAGUGGCUUACAAAGGCUUUGACGGGUAGCCGGCCUGAGAGGGUGACCGGCCACAUUGGGACUGAGAUACGGCCCAGACUCCUACGGGAGGCAGCAGUGGGGAAUAUUGCACAAUGGGCGGAAGCCUGAUGCAGCAACGCCGCGUGCGGGAUGACGGCCUUCUGGUUGUAAACCGCUUUCGCCUGUGGCGAAGCGUGAGUGACGGUAAUUGGUAAAGAAGCACCGGCUAACUACGUG
rnacentral:rRNA from 1 species